UCUGCAACUCGAGUGCAUGAAGUCGGAAUCGCUAGUAAUCGCGAAUCAGAAUGUCGCGGUGAAUCCGUUCCCGGGUCUUGUACACACCGCCCGUCACACCACGAGAGUUUGAAACACCCGAAGUCGGCCGGCCAACCCCAUGGGAGGCAGCCGUCGAAGGUGGGUUGAAUGAUUGGGGUGAAGUCGUAACAAGGUAGCCGUAUCGGAAGGUGCGGCUGGAUCACCUCCUUUCUAAGGA
rnacentral:rRNA from 1 species